ACCGGCGCACGGGUGAGUAACGCGUAUCCAACCUGCCCCCAACUAGGGAAUAACCUUGCGAAAGUAAGACUAAUACCCUAUAAUUUCCUCAGAUGUCAUCUGACGAGGAAUAAAGAUUUAUCGGUUGUGGAUGGGGAUGCGUCUGAUUAGCUUGUUGGCGGGGUAACGGCCCACCAAGGCAACGAUCAGUAGGGGUUCUGAGAGGAAGGUCCCCCACAUUGGAACUGAGACACGGUCCAAACUCCUACGGGAGGCAGCAGUGAGGAAUAUUGGUCAAUGGGCGGAAGCCUGAACCAGCCAAGUAGCGUGCAGGAUGACGGCCCUAUGGGUUGUAAACUGCUUUUAUACAGGAAUAAAGUUAGCCACGUGUGGUUAUUUGUAGGUACUGUAUGAAUAAGGACCGGCUAAUUCCGUGCCAGCAGCCGCGGUAAUACGGAAGGUCCAGGCGUUAUCCGGAUUUAUUGGGUUUAAAGGGAGCGUAGGCCGUCUGUUAAGCGUGUUGUGAAAUGUAGAUGCUCAACAUCUGAAUUGCAGCGCGAACUGGCAGACUUGAGUGUGCGCAACGUAGGCGGAAUUCGUGGUGUAGCGGUGAAAUGCUUAGAUAUCACGAAGAACUCCGAUUGCGAAGGCAGCUUACGGGAGCACAACUGACGCUGAAGCUCGAAAGUGCGGGUAUCGAACAGGAUUAGAUACCCUGGUAGUCCGCACGGUAAACGAUGGAUGCCCGCUGUUGACCCACCUGGGCCAGCGGCCAAGCGAAAGCAUUAAGCAUCCCACCUGGGGAGUACGCCGGCAACGGUGAAACUCAAAGGAAUUGACGGGGGCCCGCACAAGCGGAGGAACAUGUGGUUUAAUUCGAUGAUACGCGAGGAACCUUACCCGGGCUUGAAUUGCAGAGGAGAGAUCCAGAGAUGGUGAUGCCCUUCGGGGCCUCUGUGAAGGUGCUGCAUGGUUGUCGUCAGCUCGUGCCGUGAGGUGUCGGCUUAAGUGCCAUAACGAGCGCAACCCCCUUCUUUAGUUGCCA
rnacentral:rRNA from 1 species